GACGAACGCUGGCGGCGUGCUUAACACAUGCAAGUCGAACGGAAAGGCCCUUCGGGGUACUCGAGUGGCGAACGGGUGAGUAACACGUGGGUGAUCUGCCCUGCACUUUGGGAUAAGCCUGGGAAACUGGGUCUAAUACCGAAUAGGACCACGCGCUUCAUUGUGUGUUGUGGAAAGCUUUUGCGGUGUGGGAUGUGCCCGCGGCCUAUCAGCUUGUUGGUGGGGUAAUGGCCUACCAAGGCGACGACGGGUAGCCGGCCUGAGAGGGUGACCGGCCACACUGGGACUGAGAUACGGCCCAGACUCCUACGGGAGGCAGCAGUGGGGAAUAUUGCACAAUGGGCGCAAGCCUGAUGCAGCGACGCCGCGUGAGGGAUGACGGCCUUCGGGUUGUAAACCUCUUUCAAUAGGGACGAAGCGCAAGUGACGGUACCUAUAGAAGAAGCACCGGCCAACUACGUG
rnacentral:rRNA from 1 species